GUUCUUUGCUUUCCUUCACACUCUUCCGUUAUAUCGGUAGAUCCUUUGGUUUUUCUUUUAUUUAAACCUAUAAUAAUAAUAAUAAGGCUUUGCCCUGUUAAGUAUUUUAACUCCCGAUCACCGCUACCCUUUCCGAUUGAUCUGAGUCCCAUAACGCAUGUCAGAGCUCUGCCCGACUAAGUUCGUUGGGAUUCUGUCACGGGACAUCGGGACAAGGUUGAUUUAGGGGUACUAUACUUAACACGAGUGCAUUAUAUAUUUUUAACAGCCCAAAAGUAUACCCAAAAUUUAUACCAGGAGUCUUUCUAGUUGAACCCUAAAGUUACACAAGGGGUCCAUUCUCUUUUCUCACCGUUUUAUUCUCUCUUUGUGAUUUACCCCAAAACUAUUAUUUAUUAUUUAUUAUUUCUAUUUUGUAAACAACUUUCAUCAAAAGUCAUGCCUAUUAUUUUUCUCUUAUUUUAUUUACCCAAUAGGGAACCAUAGUUGAGACACCCAGGUAAUCCUGCAUAACUCCUAAAAAUUUUCAUAGCAAUCAGAAUCAGGAUCAGGGCCCCUAAAACCCGGGGGGGUAAACCCUAGUGGACGAUUAUCUUCAAAUCUCGUUGUCGAAUUCGAAUUUAAAGAAAUCAUCAACUCAGCAGGCCUAGUCCCACACGUGGCAACCUUAUGACCAUUACGUGUCCCUUACGGACCGUAAGGGAUAAGUCUUACGGUCCGUAAGCCUGUCAAAUUUCGUGUAUAAAUAGCAGGCAUCGGCAUUUGCAGUCUGCUCUUCAUUCGACGAUUAAAUUCCGAUUAUACACCGAGUUAUCAUCCAAAUGCUCUAAAAACACACACGCGAAUCACUAAUUAGUAUAGCAGGGUGCUGCUACGAUACAGGGUAUUAAUUCGAUCGCUAUUACGAUUCAUUUUCCGACCGAUCAAUAUAUCCAAUGGAUGUUUAAGUGCCACCCACAUUAGGGUUAUACUUUGUCGUUCGUCGUUAAUUCGAUGGAUGUUUAAGUAUCGCACUUUGUCGUUCGUUGUGAGAAUUUGAUCUCGUGAGUUAUCGUAACUGUUGUAUUAAGUUACCUACCUAGUUCGUAUGCACUAGAUUACAAGGCUAAAUCAACAGGCUAAGCUCUGCCUGUGUAAAUCUGCAAUAUAUCAAGGCUUAUCUGUAGACUAAACUUUGGCCGUAUGAAUCUGCAUGAUUAUAAUGUAAUUACAGUAGAUUGGAGUAAGGAUUGGAUCCGGCACUAAAAGACAUCAAGAAGUGGCUUAUUUUAUUAAUUAAAUCAAAUUAAGAAAUAUUGUAUUUAUUAAAAGCUACCUUUGUAACAAUGGAAUUUAUUCCAUCUAUUUAAAUAAAAUCCGGUGU
rnacentral:lncRNA from 1 species